GACGAACGCUGGCGGCGUGCUUAACACAUGCAAGUCGAACGGAAAGGCCCUGCUUUUGUGGGGUGCUCGAGUGGCGAACGGGUGAGUAACACGUGAGUAACCUGCCCUUGACUUUGGGAUAACUUCAGGAAACUGGGGCUAAUACCGGAUAGGAGCUCCUGCUGCAUGGUGGGGUUGGAAAGUUUCGGCGGUUGGGGAUGGACUCGCGGCUUAUCAGCCUGUUGGUGGGGUAGUGGCUUACCAAGGCUUUGACGGGUAGCCGGCCUGAGAGGGUGACCGGCCACAUUGGGACUGAGAUACGGCCCAGACUCCUACGGGAGGCAGCAGUGGGGAAUAUUGCACAAUGGGCGGAAGCCUGAUGCAGCAACGCCGCGUGCGGGAUGACGGCCUUCGGGUUGUAAACCGCUUUCGCCUGUGACGAAGCGUGAGUGACGGUAAUGGGUAAAGAAGCACCGGCUAACUACGUG
rnacentral:rRNA from 1 species